rnacentral:rRNA from 1 species
AUUGAACGCUGGCGGCAUGCCUUACACAUGCAAGUCGAACGGUAACAGGUUAAGCUGACGAGUGGCGAACGGGUGAGUAAUGUAUCGGAACGUGCCCAGUCGUGGGGGAUAACUGCUCGAAAGGGCAGCUAAUACCGCAUACGACCUGAGGGUGAAAGCGGGGGAUCGCAAGCCCUCGCGCGAUUGGAGCGGCCGAUAUCAGAUUAGGUAGUUGGUGAGGUAAAGGCUCACCAAGCCGACGAUCUGUAGCUGGUCUGAGAGGACGAUCAGCCACACUGGGACUGAGACACGGCCCAGACUCCUACGGGAGGCAGCAGUGGGGAAUUUUGGACAAUGGGCGCAAGCCUGAUCCAGCCAUGCCGCGUGCGGGAAGAAGGCCUUCGGGUUGUAAACCGCUUUUGUCAGGGAAGAAAAGGUUCUGGCUAAUACCUGGGACUCAUGACGGUACCUGAAGAAUAAGCACCGGCUAACUACGUG